rnacentral:lncRNA from 1 species
GGAAAUUUUAAUUUAACGUCGGUUGAUAAAGCCAAGAUUUCUUAAAUUAUAGUAGAAAAUAAGAAGAAAUACUCCAUUGUUUGAAGAUUCAGACAAUAAUUGUAAAUGUAAGUGCUCAACUAUGUCAAUAUUUUUAAGUUUCGUGUGUAAAUAUGUGCCAUAAAUAGCAAUAUAUUCAUGUAUAUUUUAACCGCCAUUGCCGUUGACCGCAUUAUAUUUUGUAUUUGGUUCAACAAUAUAUUGUUAUUAAAAUACAUUAAAACUUAGUGAUAUUGCUUUGUAUUGACAGGUUAUAAUUUCAAGCAAUAAAUACUGUCAUAGUACGUGUUCUAAGCAAGUCGAACUGUCGAAAUCAUGAUAUAUACAGGCUACAAGAAGGUAUGAAAUAUACAAUUAUAUUUACAAGGGUCCACAAAGGAAGGAUUGUUCACUCACACAAAGCCAUGGAACUUGCUUUGGCGAUCAGAUAAAUAUUAGCUAAAUGAGUUAAUAUUGAUACCCUUUCAGUAGUGAUCAAUACAUUAAAGUUAACAAUAUAAACAUUUAUAUUUCAAUUUGUUAAUGUAUUGAUCUAUUGAGAGGAUAUCAAUGUUGACUCAAUAGCUAUUAAUAUUGAUAUAAUCUCCAAAGCAAGUUCUAUGGCUUUGUAUUAGGCCCUGUUUACAUGAGACCACAACAAAGUCAAACCGGGACCAUUUUGUUUUGCUCAUAGUAUGAUCUAUAAUUUAGAUGUUCACAAGCGACCGGGAUGAAAAUAACUCGACAGACCAGUCUCAAGUCAUUCUGCCUGCUGGAUCAAGCCGAUUGACUUUAGACUGGCAUGAAUUCAGACCGGCAUGAAUUCAGACCGGCAUGAAUGUAAACACAAAUACAGUUCAGACCGGUCUUUGCUGUAACCUUGACAUUGGAACAACAUAUGCUAACAAAAGCCAUCUGAACAAGAAAAUUGCCUAGCAAGGGGAAUAAAUUAAAAAUUUUGUGAUUUUUGUACUGAUCUCAUGUAAACAUGUUGACAAUUGGGGGCUUCGGUGGCGAAGUGGUUAGCGCCCUUGGCUUUCACCUCUAAGGCCGCAGGUUCGAAUCUCAAUGAGGACUUCUCAUUGUGACUGGAACCCAGUCCUAAUGUGAAAAGAGUAAAUCAGCGCUCUGCCGAAAGUUGUGGGUUUGCUCCGGGUACUCCGUGUUUCCUCCCACAGGGAAAGUUGACAGGGUAGGUUAGGCAUAUAAGGUCUGGAAGCAGAUCAUUAAUGAGGUAUGGACUAAUAGCGGCUGCUCAAGCACCAUUUGUAAGCUCAAACUCUACCUCGGUCUGCUUCACGUCAGUCUGGUUGAUCUAUCUAAUCAUAAUGUAAAACUUCUGCAAUUCAGUGUAUGGUGCCAUGGAAGUUAAAAAAACAUACUUAUCUAUCUAUCUAUUAUCUAUCUAAAUUUCAAUUUUCCUUCCAGUUUGACUUCUUCCCGGUUUCAUGUAAAUGGGGGCCUAAGAGCAGAACAAUCCUUCCUUUGUGUUAUCUAUAUUGUGCUAUCAUAGUAAAUAGCUGUAUUUCUAUUUAAUAUCCAGACAACCCAGGUAGAAUGUUCCUAAAUUCCCUGAAUAUAUUGAGGAUACAUGUUUGAGUCCCUCAUACUAUUGUUUAUAUGCUUCUCGAGAAUUUCCAGGCUCACAAUUUUAUGCAUAAAGAAACUGUUUAAGGGGCCAUGUGCAUAUUCAUGUUGCCACAACAACAUCGAAUCAACAUUAUAAGUGGGUGGGUUUUAUGUGAACUUAUCUCUGUUAUCUUGUGGCAAUUUGACAAUUAAUGCCAAUAAAUGAUCAAUAAUUGACGUUAAAUUAUUAAUUGACAAUGAAUUACAGUAUCUACAAAUAAACUUGGAAUCCAACUGAAUCAAAGUAUGUAAUUGUGAGAAGUAUUUUCAAAAGUAGGUUGUUUAAUUAGUAUUUACUGAUUGAAAAAUAAGAAAAUCAUUCAAAGAAAUUCUUAUUUUUUCAGGUAGUUAAACAAUCUACUGUUUGCAACUGUAGCUAGUGAAUAGUCUACUUUGCUAUAUGAUUGAUUACAGUGAUUACAGGUUUUGAAGAAACAAUUGUUUAGUAUCUGUGUGUUUAUAUUAUGGACAUGGAUUAAACAAUUAACAUAGAUUAAGAUACUUAAUUGAAAGAACUUAAUCUAUAUAUGUGUAUGUAUACUGUACAGAAAUUUAUUCUAUGUUUAAAUCUUUUUGUGUAGAGGAUGCUCAACCCCUUUUAUCAGGAUCUCAACCCCUUGUCUAUUGGUACUGGACCUCUGGAAGAGAUAAGUUUGAUUUCAUUGAUUGCAGAGGGAAUGUUUGUGAAAAAUUCAAAUUGUGCAAUAUAGCCAACAACCUGCAGUUUAUGAUAAUGCACAAUUUAUGAUAAUGAUGAUAUUAUAUUGAUCAUUAAUGUAAUGCAUGUAUUGUACAUGCAGGAUAUACCGUAAAUCUCAAAAUAUAAGCCCCCCAUGUAUAAGUCCCCCCACCCCACGUAUAAGCCCACCACAUGUACUAACGCUCACCUCAUUCCAAAUAUAAGCCCCCCCCCUGAAUAUAAGCCCACCCAAAUAUAAAUAAGCCCACUUGUUU